GGGUGGAGUAAUGCUUAGGGAAUCUGCCUAUUAGUGGGGGACAACAUUCCGAAAGGAAUGUUAAUUCCGCAUACGUCCUACGGGAGAAAGCAGGGGAUCUUCGGACCUUGCGCUAAUAGAUGAGCCUAAGUCGGAUUAGCUAGUUGGUGGGGUAAAGGCCUACCAAGGCGACGAUCUGUAGCGGGUCUGAGAGGAUGAUCCGCCACACUGGGACUGAGACACGGCCCAGACUCCUACGGGAGGCAGCAGUGGGGAAUAUUGGACAAUGGGGGGAACCCUGAUCCAGCCAUGCCGCGUGUGUGAAGAAGGCCUUAUGGUUGUAAAGCACUUUAAGCGAGGAGGAGGCUACUGAGACUAAUACUCUUGGAUAGUGGACGUUACUCGCAGAAUAAGCACCGGCUAACUCUGUGCCAGCAGCCGCGGUAAUACAGAGGGUGCGAGCGUUAAUCGGAUUUACUGGGCGUAAAGCGUGCGUAGGCGGCUUUUUAAGUCGGAUGUGAAAUCCCCGAGCUUAACUUGGGAAUUGCAUUCGAUACUGGGAAGCUAGAGUAUGGGAGAGGAUGGUAGAAUUCCAGGUGUAGCGGUGAAAUGCGUAGAGAUCUGGAGGAAUACCGAUGGCGAAGGCAGCCAUCUGGCCUAAUACUGACGCUGAGGUACGAAAGCAUGGGGAGCAAACAGGAUUAGAUACCCUGGUAGUCCAUGCCGUAAA
rnacentral:rRNA from 1 species